rnacentral:rRNA from 1 species
UACGAAGGGGGCUAGCGUUGCUCGGAAUCACUGGGCGUAAAGGGUGCGUAGGCGGGUUUUUAAGUCAGGGGUGAAAUCCUGGAGCUCAACUCCAGAACUGCCUUUGAUACUGAAGAUCUUGAGUCCGGGAGAGGUGAGUGGAACUGCGAGUGUAGAGGUGAAAUUCGUAGAUAUUCGCAAGAACACCAGUGGCGAAGGCGGCUCACUGGCCCGGUACUGACGCUGAGGCACGAAAGCGUGGGUAGCAACAGG